AAGUCGUAACAAGGUCUCCGUUGGUGAACCAGCGGAGGGAUCAUUACUGAGUCACGUGCUCAAACAACCCUUCUGUGGACCUGAAUUAAACCGUUGCCUCGGCGGGCGGUCCCCUGCCAAAACCCACGUGGUUGUGGACAGAGGACCAGACAGUCCGGCACGCUUAAGGCGUCCGGCGCCAGCCGCUGGCCCUAACCAAUUAAACUCUAGUAACCUUACCUUCUGAGUUUUAAUACAAAAAAAAAUAAGUCAAAACUUUCAACAACGGAUCUCUUGGCUCUG
rnacentral:misc_RNA from 1 species